ensembl:lncRNA
CAGCGCCGGAGAGCAAAGAAACCGACAGGAAAGAAGGAGAGAAAAAGGAAAAAUAAAGACGCGGUUAUUGUUCGCGUUUGGCUUUCGGCGACGUGAAAAAAGGAGCUGCAGUGACCCUGUGACGGGUGGGGUUUUAAAUAAGGGCGUGUCGAGUGUCUCCUCCGGAUCUGUGUUCAUCUCCAGCUCGUAUUUGCUCAGUAAUCUCCGCCCAAGCUCCGGUUGACACAGCAGCAAAUUUCAAUCACAAGGGGCUUCGGAGUCAGCCGCAAAACGUAUUUGUUUAAUAAAUCCAUCAUUUUGGUCGAAAAAUAUUUGAUAAGCCGGGUUUGACCCCUGUAGGAAGGAGCAUGUAUUUACUGACGUGGCCCCCUGCUAGAGUGAAAUGAAGGUUAAGAUCUUUAAAGUGCCCUUCAAAAUGGCCCAUGCAGAUGCAAGCACAUGGGGUGCAUUUAUAAUAUGACCUAUAAAACCCUGAAAACGUGCCGGAUUAGUGGGAUGUGUGUGUUAAGCCCAGUCUAUAUGUUCG